rnacentral:rRNA from 1 species
UACGAAGGGGGCUAGCGUUGCUCGGAAUUACUGGGCGUAAAGCGCACGUAGGCGGAUUGUUAAGUCGGGGGUGAAAUCCUGGAGCUCAACUCCAGAACUGCCUUCGAUACUGGCGAUCUCGAGUUCGGGAGAGGUGAGUGGAACUGCGAGUGUAGAGGUGAAAUUCGUAGAUAUUCGCAAGAACACCAGUGGCGAAGGCGGCUCACUGGCCCGAUACUGACGCUGAGGUGCGAAAGCGUGGGGAG